CGGAGGAUCCAAGCGUUAUCCGGAAUCAUUGGGUUUAAAGGGUCCGUAGGCGGUUUAGUAAGUCAGUGGUGAAAGCCCAUCGCUCAACGGUGGAACGGCCAUUGAUACUGCUAGACUUGAAUUAUUAGGAAGUAACUAGAAUAUGUAGUGUAGCGGUGAAAUGCUUAGAGAUUACAUGGAAUACCAAUUGCGAAGGCAGGUUACUACUAAUGGAUUGACGCUGAUGGACGAAAGCGUGGGUAGCGAACAGGAUUAGAUACCCUGGUAGUCCACGCCGUAAACGAUGGAUACUAGUUGUUGGGAGCGAUCUCAGUGGCUAAGCGAAAGUGAUAAGUAUCCCACCUGGGGAGUACGUUCGCAAGAAUG
rnacentral:rRNA from 1 species